UACGUAGGUGGCAAGCGUUGUCCGGAUUUAUUGGGUUUAAAGGGUGUGUAGGCGGUCCUAUAAGUCAGUGCUGAAAUAUCCCGGCUUAACCGGGAGGGUGGCAUUGAUACUGUAGGACUUGAGUAAAGUUGAGGUAAGCGGAAUUGACGGUGUAGCGGUGAAAUGCUUAGAUAUCGUCAAGAACACCUAUUGCGAAGGCAGCUUACUAAGCUUUAACUGACGCUGAGGCACGAAAGUGUGGGGAUCAAACAGG
rnacentral:rRNA from 1 species